rnacentral:rRNA from 1 species
UACGUAGGGUGCAAGCGUUGUCCGGAAUUAUUGGGCGUAAAGAGUUCGUAGGCGGUCUGUUGCGUCCGCUGUGAAAACUCGGGGCUUAACCCCGAGCCUGCAGUGGAUACGGGCAGACUAGAGGUAGGUAGGGGAGAAUGGAAUUCCCGGUGUAGCGGUGAAAUGCGCAGAUAUCGGAGGAACACCGGUGGCGAAGGCGGUUCUCUGGGCCUUACCUGACGCUGAGGAGCGAAAGCGUGGGAGCGAA